GACGAACGCUGGCGGCGUGCUUAACACAUGCAAGUCGAGCGGAAAGGCCCUUCGGGGUCCUCGAGCGGCGAACGGGUGAGUAACACGUGAGUAACCUGCCCCAGACUUUGGGAUAACCCUCGGAAACGGGGGCUAAUACCGGAUACGACACAGCUUCGCAUGGGGUCUGUGUGGAAAGUUUUUCGGUUUGGGAUGGGCUCGCGGCCUAUGAGCUUGUUGGUGGGGUGAUGGCCUACCAAGGCGACGACGGGUAGCCGGCCUGAGAGGGCGACCGGCCACACUGGGACUGAGACACGGCCCAGACUCCUACGGGAGGCAGCAGUGGGGAAUAUUGCACAAUGGGCGGAAGCCUGAUGCAGCGACGCCGCGUGAGGGAUGACGGCCUUCGGGUUGUAAACCUCUUUCAGCAGGGACGAAGCGUAAGUGACGGUACCUGCAGAAGAAGCGCCGGCCAACUACGUG
rnacentral:rRNA from 1 species